rnacentral:rRNA from 1 species
AACGGUGGGUACUAGGUGUGGGGUCCAUUCCACGGGUUCCGUGCCGUAGCUAACGCUUUAAGUACCCCGCCUGGGGAGUACGGCCGCAAGGCUAAAACUCAAAGGAAUUGACGGGGCCCCGCACAAGCGGCGGAGCAUGCGGAUUAAUUCGAUGCAACGCGUAGAACCUUACCUGGGUUUGACAUGGAUCGGGAGUGCUCAGAGAUGGGUGUGCCUCUUUUGGGGUCGGUUCACAGGUGGUGCAUGCCUGUCGUCAGCUCGUGUCGUGAGAUGUUGGGUUAAGUCCCGCAACGAGCGCAACCCUUGUUCACUGUUGCCAGCACGUUAUGGUGGGGACUCAGUGGAGACCGCCGGGGUCAACUCGGAGGAAGGUGGGGAUGACGUCAAGUCCUCAUGCCCCUUAUGUCCAGGGCUUCACGCAUGCUACAAUGGCUGGUACAGAGAGUGGCGAGCCUGUGAGGGUGAGCGAAUCUCGGAAAGCCGGUCUCAGUUCGGAUUGGGGUCUGCAACUCGACCUCAUGAAGUCGGAGUCGCUAGUAAUCGCAGAUCAGCAACGCUGCGGUGAAUACGUUCCCGGGGCUUGUACACACCGCCCGUCAAGUCAUGAAAGUUGGUAACACCCGAAGCCGGUGGCCUAACCGUUGUGGGGGAGCCGUCGAAGGUGGGACUGGUGAUUAGGACUAAGUCGUAACAAGGUAGCCGUACCGGAAGGUGCGGCUG